GGGCCUAUAGCUUAGCUGGUUAGAGCGCACGCCUGAUAAGCGUGAGGUCGAUGGUUCGAGUCCAUUUAGGCCCA
rnacentral:tRNA from 1 species